rnacentral:misc_RNA from 1 species
UCCUGGUUAACCCAGGCAGUCUCAUUAGAGUUCCCACCCUAAGUGUUGGCAACUAAUGAUAAGGGUUGCGCUCGUUGCGGGACUUAACCCAACACCUCACGGCACGAGCUGACGACAGCCAUGCAGCACCUGUGUAGCGGUCCUUUCGGAAAAUGACAUCUCUGCCACUGUCCACUACAUGUCAAGUCUGGGUAAGGUUCUUCGCGUUGCAUCGAAUUAAACCACAUGCUCCACUGCUUGUGCGGGCCCCCGUCAAUUCUUUUGAGUUUCACCCUUGCGAGUGUACUCCUCAGGCGGUAUACUUAUCGCGUUAGCUUCGACACAAUUGGGGUUGAUUCCAACUACAUCAAGUAUACAUCGUUUACGGCUAGGACUAC